rnacentral:rRNA from 1 species
GCCGCAGAACUCUGUGCUAAGGUAGCAUAAUAAAUAGCCUUUUAAUUAAAGGAUAGAAUGAAAGAAUACACAAAUUAGAAACUCUACCUUUAAUAAUAAUUAAAACUUUACUAAGAAUAAAAAUAUUCUUAUAUAAAAGAAAGACAACAAGACCCUAUCGAACUUUUACAAUGUUAAACUGGGGCGGUUAAAUAAAAAAACCUUUUUCUAACUAACAGAUCCAAUAAUAUUGAACAUCUGAACAAGUUACCGUAGGGAUAACAGCACUAUUUAAAAUUAAAGAUCCUAUUACAUUUUAAGUUUAUGACCUCGAUGUUGAAUUAGAAAUACUAUUUAAAGCAACUUUUAAUUAAGAAAGUCUGUUCGACUUUUAAAUUUCCACAUGAUUUGAGUUCAGACCGGUGUAAACCAGGUCAGUUUAUAUCUUCUCUUAAAUUAAUCUAGUACGAAAGGACCUAUUAAACUAAAUCAUUUAUCAAUAUAGCAAACAAUUGCAUUAGAAUUAGAAUCUAAUUAACUAAUAAUAAACACUUUAAUAUUCUUAAUUACUUUAAUUAGUAUUCUAAUUAGUGUUGCAUUUUACACUGUUCUAGAACGAAAAAUUCUAAGAUAUAUUCAAAUCCGAAAAGGACCAAAUAAAGUUGGAAUUAUAGGUCUACUUCAACCAUUUAGAGAUGCUAUUAAAUUAUUUAAUAAAACUACUAUUUUUAGAAACCCUUCAAAUUAUGUAAUUACUAUAAUUACCCCUAUACUAGCUUUCAUCUUAAGCCUAAUAAUAUGACCAUUUUUCCCUUUAGCCAACUACAACUUAUUUGAUAAUAAUUACAGAAUUCUUACAUUUCUACUUAUUUCCAGACUAAACGUCUGAAUUUUACUUUUAAUUGGAUGAUCUACAA